rnacentral:rRNA from 1 species
ACAUGCAGUCGAGCGAAUCUUUGGGAGCUUGCUCCCAUUGGUGAGCGGCGGACGGGUGAGUAACACGUGGGCAACCUGCCUGUAAGACUGGGAUAACACCGGGAAACCGGUGCUAAUACCGGAUAAUCCAUUUCCUCUCAUGAGGAAAUGCUGAAAGACGGUUUCGGCUGUCACUUACAGAUGGGCCCGCGGCGCAUUAGCUAGUUGGUGAGGUAACGGCUCACCAAGGCGACGAUGCGUAGCCGACCUGAGAGGGUGAUCGGCCACACUGGGACUGAGACACGGCCCAGACUCCUACGGGAGGCAGCAGUAGGGAAUCUUCCACAAUGGACGAAAGUCUGAUGGAGCAACGCCGCGUGAGCGAUGAAGGCCUUCGGGUCGUAAAGCUCUGUUGUUAGGGAAGAACAAGUACCGGAGUAACUGCCGGUACCUUGACGGUACCUAACCAGAAAGCCACGGCUAACUACGUGCCAGCAGCCGCGGUAAUACGUAGGUGGCAAGCGUUGUCCGGAAUUAUUGGGCGUAAAGCGCGCGCAGGCGGUCCUUUAAGUCUGAUGUGAAAGCCCACGGCUCAACCGUGGAGGGUCAUUGGAAACUGGGGGACUUGAGUGCAGAAGAGGAAAGCGGAAUUCCACGUGUAGCGGUGAAAUGCGUAGAGAUGUGGAGGAACACCAGUGGCGAAGGCGGCUUUCUGGUCUGUAACUGACGCUGAGGCGCGAAAGCGUGGGGAGCAAACAGGAUUAGAUACCCUGGUAGUCCACGCCGUAAACGAUGAGUGCUAAGUGUUAGGGGGUUUCCGCCCCUUAGUGCUGCAGCUAACGCAUUAAGCACUCCGCCUGGGGAGUACGGCCGCAAGGCUGAAACUCAAAGGAAUUGACGGGGGCCCGCACAAGCGGGGGAGCAUGUGGUUUAAUUCG